GUGUAAAUUACCAUGGACCUAUAUCCCUUAAUUAAAAUGUUUAAGAAAAUGUUUUUCUUAAGUUCCUUUAUUAAAUGUAAGCUAUGUGUCAGGUAUUGACAUAUGCUUUUUGUGCACAUGAUCUCAUUUAUUCCUUACAAUUUAGAGGUGUCAGGAUUCCAGGGUGUGGAAAAGUUAGAGAAAUUAAAUAAAUUGCCCAAAGUCACAAUGUGGGUAAACAGUGGAACAAGAAUUCACUUAGGAGUGUCUCCCAUGUUCUGAACCACUAAGUUAAGCUUUACACGGCCCUGUCAUUUGAUUUCCCAGAUUUCUGCAGGAAUGCUCCUUUUAAAUGCUGUCAUUAAAAUUUACACAAAAUUGCCGUUUGCAGACUCAAACUUUUUAAUUAAUUCAUGUAAAAGAAAAGAUUUGCAUAAUAGUUUCUUAUAAAGACAAAAAUAGAGGAUGGUGUGUGUAGCUUUGUGGUAGAGUGCUUGUGUAGCAAGCACAAGAACCUGGGUUAGAUCCCCAGCAAACCCUUCCCCCUAUUGCACACACACAUACAUACACACAUACAUAUAUGUAAAUAUCAAAGAAAAUGUAAAUUUCAUGCUUUAGCAUUUGGGACCUGGGAGAAAGAAGAAAAUCCAACUAAUCUAAUUAUUUACACAAAUCUUUAACACUUAAGGCCCUAUGACAUGUAUUUCAAGGAAUUUUGAGAUAAAUAGGAUAGUCUUGGCCCUUAAGAAUACUUCAAGUGAAAGUAAGUAUGCCAUAAAGUAAUACAAAUGUUCUAUGAGAAGAGUAAGUUAGGUACUGUGAGAAUUUGUGGAAGACACCAGGAAGACUUAUAGAAAAGUAAAUGAUAGGCCUGCUCAAGGAAGGAUAGCACAGUUAUGGAAGGGUCAUUUCAGUGGGAAUUUAAAGAGAGGAAAUUUUGGGGGUGUGUUUGUGGGAACAGCAUGUGGGUUAGUUUGACUAGAAAGUUUCCGCCCCAAGUUCAC
rnacentral:lncRNA from 1 species